AACCAGCACCCACGAGCACCACAUUCUGCAUGCCCUCGCCGCCGGUUGCAGUGGCCGUGCCCUCUCCCGCUGCUGCCGUACCGACGUACCGUCUCCACCAACUCCGGCAACCAGCAGCUGCCGUCCACAUUCGGACUCCGGCCAGCCACGGCUGGCCCUCCACAGCGCCGCAGUCCGAAUCAUCCGCAGGCAACCACGGCUGGCCCUGCAACCUCAGCUGCUAGGCACAGGAGCGAAAGAGAUCGUCGCUGCUAGGAGAUCAACGAGGAGGACAGCCACCGAGACAGCGAUCUGCGUUUCCCUGCAUCGAGAUUGCACUCACAAAAAAAGCAACCUACAACAGUUUCAGAUCUUGAUGAGGGCUGCAAUCAGCAUAGUAUAGUGUUUUCUUUGCAUGCAUGAUGUCCUCAGGUGUUGUUCAU